GAUGAACGCUAGCGGCAGGCUUAACACAUGCAAGUCGAGGGGCAGCGCGGGAUAGCAAUAUCCUGGCGGCGACCGGCGGAAGGGUGCGUAACGCGUGAGCGACAUGCCCGUUGCCCGGGGACAACCGGUGGAAACGCCGACUAAUCCCCGAUGGGAUACGAUGCUUCAUGGCAUUGUAUUGAAAGUUACGGCGGCGACGGAUUGGCUCGCGUCCGAUUAGCUGGUUGGCGGGGUAACGGCCCACCAAGGCUGCGAUCGGUAGGGGUUCUGAGAGGAAGGCCCCCCACAAUGGGAAUGAGACACGGCCCAUACUCCUACGGGAGGCAGCAGUGAGGAAUAUUGGUCAAUGGGCGGAAGCCUGAACCAGCCAUGCCGCGUGCGGGAAGGAGGCCCUAUGGGCUGUGAACCGCUUUUGCCUGGGGGCAAUAAGGGCGUCGCGCACGUCCGAUGAGAGUACCAGGCGAAUAAGCAUCGGCUAACUCCGUG
rnacentral:rRNA from 1 species